rnacentral:rRNA from 1 species
AUUGAACGCUGGCGGCAGGCCUAACACAUGCAAGUCGAGCGAGCGGCGGACGGGUGAGUAAUGUCUGGGAAACUGCCUGAUGGAGGGGGAUAACUACUGGAAACGGUAGCUAAUACCGCAUACCAUCAUAUGUGACCAGGUGGGCUUAGCUAGUAGGUGGGGUAAUGGCUCACCUAGGCGACGAUACCUAGCUGGUCUGAGAGGAUGACCAGCCACACUGGAACUGAGACACGGUCCAGACUCCUACGUGAGGCAGCAGUGGGGAAGAUUGCAAAAUGGGCGCAAGCCUGAUGCAGCCAUGCCGCGUGUGUGAAGAAGGCCUUCGGGUUGUAAAGCACUUUCAGCGAGGAGGCGUUACUCGCAGAAGAAGCACCGGCGAACUCCGUGCCAGCAGCCGCGGUAAUUC